rnacentral:rRNA from 1 species
UGGGGAAUAUUGGACAAUGGGCGAAAGCCUGAUCCAGCCAUGCCGCGUGUGUGAAGAAGGUCUUCGGAUUGUAAAGCACUUUAAGUUGGGAGGAAGGGCAUUAACCUAAUACGUUAGUGUUUUGACGUUACCGACAGAAUAAGCACCGGCUAACUCUGUGCCAGCAGCCGCGGUAAUACAGAGGGUGCAAGCGUUAAUCGGAAUUACUGGGCGUAAAGCGCGCGUAGGUGGUUUGUUAAGUUGGAUGUGAAAUCCCCGGGCUCAACCUGGGAACUGCAUUCAAAACUGACUGACUAGAGUAUGGUAGAGGGUGGUGGAAUUUCCUGUGUAGCGGUGAAAUGCGUAGAUAUAGGAAGGAACACCAGUGGCGAAUGCGACCACCUGGACUAAUACUGACACUGAGGUGCGAAAGCGUGGGGAGCAAACA